rnacentral:rRNA from 1 species
AGAGUUUGAUCAUGGCUCAGAUUGAACGCUGGCGGCAUGCUUUACACAUGCAAGUCGAACGGCAGCGCGGGGCAACCUGGCGGCGAGUGGCGAACGGGUGAGUAAUAUAUCGGAACGUACCCAAGAGUGGGGGAUAACGUAGCGAAAGUUACGCUAAUACCGCAUACGAUCCAAGGAUGAAAGCAGGGGACCGCAAGGCCUUGUGCUCCUGGAGCGGCCGAUAUCUGAUUAGCUAGUUGGUGAGGUAAAGGCUCACCAAGGCGACGAUCAGUAGCUGGUCUGAGAGGACGACCAGCCACACUGGGACUGAGACACGGCCCAGACUCCUACGGGAGGCAGCAGUGGGGAAUUUUGGACAAUGGGCGCAAGCCUGAUCCAGCAAUGCCGCGUGAGUGAAGAAGGCCUUCGGGUUGUAAAGCUCUUUUGUCAGGGAAGAAACGGUGGGAGCUAAUAUCUCUUGCUAAUGACGGUACCUGAAGAAUAAGCACCGGCUAACUACGUGCCAGCAGCCGCGGUAAUAC